rnacentral:rRNA from 1 species
GACGUAGGGGGCCAGCGUUGUUCGGAAUUACUGGGUGUAAAGGGUUCGUAGGCGGUGCGGCAAGUUGGGAGUGAAAUCUCUGGGCUUAACCCAGAGGCUGCUUCCAAAACUGCUGUGCUUGAGUGUGGGAGAGGCGCGUGGAAUUGCAGGUGUAGCGGUGAAAUGCGUAGAUAUCUGCAGGAACACCCGUGGCGAAAGCGGCGCGCUGGGACGGUACUGACGCUGAGACGCGAAAGCGUGGGGAGCGAACAGG